AUUGAACGCUGGCGGCAGGCCUAACACAUGCAAGUCGAACGAGUGGCGGACGGGUGAGUAAUGUCUGGGAAACUGCCUGAUGGAGGGGGAUAACUACUGGAAACGGUAGCUAAUACCGCAUACCAUCAGAUGUGCCCAGAUGGGAUUAGCUAGUUGGUGGGGUAACGGCUCACCAAGGCCACGAUCCCUAGCUGGUCUGAGAGGAUGACCAGCCCAACUGGAACUGGGACACGGUCCAGACGCCUACGUGAGGCAGCAGUGGGGAAUAUUUCACCAUGGGCGCGAGACUGAUGCAGCCAUGCCGCGUGUAUGAAGAAGGCCUUCGGGUUGUAAAGUACUUUCAGCGGGGAGGCGUUACCCGCAGAAGAAGCACCGGCUAACUCCGUGCCAGCAGCCGCGGUAAUUC
rnacentral:rRNA from 1 species